rnacentral:rRNA from 1 species
GUGAGUAACACGUAAGUAACCUGCCUUUAAGACGAGGAUAACAACCGGAAGGUUACUAAGACUGGAUAGGAAACAAAAAGGCAUCUUUUUGUUUUUAAAAGACCUUCUUACGAAGGUAUGCUUAAAGAGGGGCUUGCGCCACAUUAGUUAGUUGGUAGAGUAAAAGCCUACCAAGACGAUGAUGUGUAGCUGGACUGAGAGGUUGAACAGCCACAUUGGGACUGAGACACGGCCCAAACUCCUACGGGAGGCAGCAGUAGGGAAUUUUCGGCAAUGGAGGAAACUCUGACCGAGCAACGCCGCGUGAACGAUGAAGUAUUUCGGUAUGUAAAGUUCUUUUAUUGAAGAAGAAAAAGUAGUGGAAAAACUAUAUUGACGUUAUUCAAUGAAUAAGCCCCGGCUAACUAUGUGCCAGCAGCCGCGGUAAGACAUAGGGGGCGAGCGUUAUCCGGAAUUAUUGGGCGUAAAGGGUGCGUAGGCUGUUAGAUAAGUCUAUAAUUUAAUUUCAGUGCUUAACGCUGUCUUGUUAUAGAAACUGUCUUGACUAGAGUGAGAUAGAGGCAAGCGGAAUUCCAUGUGUAGCGGUAAAAUGUGUAAAUAUAUGGAGGAACACCAGAAGCGUUUGUCGGCUCUCUGUGUCUUUACUGACGCUGAGGCACGAAAGCGUGGGUAGCAAACAGGAUUAGAUACCCUGGUAGUCCACGCCGUAAACGAUGAGUACUAAGUGUCGACUUAUAUCUUCGCUACUGAAGUUAACACAAUAACCCCCCCCCGGGAGUAGUACGUCCGCAAGUAAAAUACUUAAAGGAAUUGGGGGGACUCCCCACAAGCGGUGGAUCAUGUUGUUUAAUUCGCAGAUACACGAAAACUCUUACCAGGUCUUAACAUCCUGUGCAAAGCUAUAAAAAUAUAGUCGAUGUUGUCAGGGAUACAGGUGGUGCAUGGUUGUCGUCAGUUCGUGUCGUGAGAUGUUAGGUUAAGUCCUAAAACGAACGCAACCCUUGUCGCUAAUUGCCAGCACAUAAUGGUGGGGACUUUAACGAGACUGCCAAUUAAACAUUGGAGGAAGGUGAGGAUUACGUCAAAUCAUCAUGCCCCUUAUGAUCUGGGCUACAAACGUGAUACAAUGGCUGUGACAAAGAGUAGCUGAAACGCGAGUUUUUAGCCAAUCUCAAAAAAGCAGUCUCAGUUCGGAUUGAAGUCUGUAACUCGACUUCAUGAAGUUGGAAUCGCUAGUAAUCGCGAAUCAGCAUGUCGCGGUGAAUACGUUCUCGGGGUUUGUACACACCGCCCGUCACAACCACGAAAGUUAGCAAUGCCCGAAAGCAGUAGCUUAACUUCGCAAGAAGAGGGAACUGUCUAAGGUAGGGUUGAUGAUUGGGGUUAAGUCGUAACAAGGUAUCCC